AAUAAAGUUUUAUUUUAGCUUAAAAAUUUAUUAUUAAUUAAUUUUAUAUGUAAAUUUUUGUGUGAGUUUAAUAUAAUUUAAAAAAUUAUUUUUAUUUUUAUUAUUCGCAGUAAUUAAUAUUAUAAAUUAAAGAAAUUUAGAAAUAGUUAUAUUAAAAAGUAUUGGUAAAAUUUGUGCCAGCAGCCGCGGUUAUACAAAUAAUACAAAUAAAUUUUAUUAGUUUAAGUUAAAUUAAAUAUUCAUAAUUUUAAAUAUAAAUUUAUUAGGUAAAAUUUUAAAUUUAUUAAAUUUUAAAAUUAAAUGUUAUUAAAGCUUGGAAAUUUUAUUUAAAAACUAGGAUUAGAUACCCUAUUAUUUAAAAUAUAAAUUUAUACUAAAGUAGUAUUAGAUAUGUUCUUGAAAUUUAAAAAAUUUGGCGGUAUUUUAGUCUAUUUAGAGGAAUCUGUCCUAUAAUCGAUAUUCCACGAUGGACCUAACUUAAAUUUGUAAUCAGUUUAUAUACCGUUGUUAUAAGAAUGUUUUAUAAGAAAAAUAAUUUUCUUUAAUUUUUAUUAAAAUUUAUAUCAGAUCAAGGUGUAGCUUAUAUUUAAGUAGAGAUGGAUUACAAUAAAAUUAUUUUUUGGUAAUAAAUUUGAAAUAAUUUAUUUAAAUUGGAUUUAAAAGUAAAAUUAUAGAGAUUAAUAGUUUGAUUUUAGCUCUAAAAUAUGUACACAUCGCCCGUCGCUCUUAUUAUUAAGGUAAGAUAAGUCGUAACAUAGUAGAUGUACCGGAAGGUGUAUCUAGAAUGA
rnacentral:ncRNA from 1 species